GAUGAACGCUGGCGGCGUGCCUAAUACAUGCAAGUCGAGCGAAUGGAUUAAGAGCUUGCUCUUAUGAAGUUAGCGGCGGACGGGUGAGUAACACGUGGGUAACCUGCCCAUAAGACUGGGAUAACUCCGGGAAACCGGGGCUAAUACCGGAUAACAUUUUGAACCGCAUGGUUCGAAAUUGAAAGGCGGCUCCGGCUGUCACUUAUGGAUGGACCCGCGUCGCAUUAGCUAGUUGGUGAGGUAACGGCUCACCAAGGCAACGAUGCGUAGCCGACCGGAGAGGGUGAUCGGCAACACUGGGACUGAGACACGGCCCAGACUCCUACGGGAGGCAGCAGUAGGGAAUCUUCCGCAAUGGACGAAAGUCUGACGGAGCAACGCCGCGUGAGUGAUGAAGGCUUUCGGGUCGUAAAACUCUGUUGUUAGGGAAGAACAAGUGCUAGUUGAAUAAGCUGGCACCUUGACGGUACCUAACCAGAAAGCCACGGCUAACUACGUGCCAGCCGCCGCUGUAA
rnacentral:rRNA from 1 species